AAAAAAUAGGAGUUAAUAGUUGUUGAAUUAGAAUUCAGAGACAAAAAAAUGAAGGGCAAUUUUUUGUGGAAUUUUGAAUGUUACUCUUUUCUUGGCUUUAAGAAUUUAGCUUUUCUUGGUAAAACAAUGCACGUGAAUGGGAAAGAAAAUGGAAACUUUCUGGCUGGUAUGAAGUUUAUAGAUUGCCACAACCCCAUCCUUACAUUCCAUUGGAAAAUAUGAGACGCUAUCUCCAGGAGGACUCUAAAAUGAGUGCUCUUACUUUUCAUGAGUUCAUCAGAGAAUAUGGUGGUGUCAUAUAUCCGAAGAGUAGCUGUUAAAGAAAUCCAGGAUGGUAUCUACUUCACAAUCAUAGUUGAUGGUACCCCUAAUAUAUCUCACACUGAGCAGAAAAACUUUAUUAUUCCUUUUUUAUUCUAUGAAACUUUGAAAAGUUAAACUAAUUGCUGGAGAAUUAAAAAAAGACUCUUGUGUAAUGAAGCUUUUGAGAUGAAUAAAGAAUAUAUUUCACACUGAGCAGAAAAACUUUAUUAUUCCUUUUUUAUUCUAUGAAACUUUGAAAGGUUAAACUAAUUGCUGAAAAAUUAAAAAACGAUUCUUGUGUAAUGAAGCUUUCGAGAUGAAUAAAGAAAUUGAUGUAGUUAAUGAUGAGUUCUUUGGGAAUGUUGAAUCUUGGUACGUAUUUUUGAGUGGGACCGCAGGAAGAUCAUCACUAAAGCGACAAGCAUUUUACUGCAUAGACUUUCUAUGAUAGGAUGGAGCUCUCGUACGGAGUUGAUCAAACCACUUACUAAGAAGCCAAGAGAAAUAUUAGCAGCUCUUAAACAUUCUAUGGAAAAUCUGGAUCUGACUAGUGAGCAGCCAGACAAGAAACUUAAAAAAAUGAUUACCAAAUUUUUGAAUUUUUAUUGCUAGUUACGUUUUAGUACAAAACCCUACUGUUGUUAACGAUGUUAGUAGUUUUCUACAAUCUGAAGCCAUUACCACUGAUGAGGAACUAUGUUUGAUUGGACAACUGCUGGAAGAUCUUAAACGGAUUAGGGGCUCUUGGUUACAAAUUUUCCAUGAGGCUGUAGCUGGACCGCUAGGGUUGAAAAAUAAACUCGUUAUUAAAAGAAAGCUUAACCUAAGCGCUUUGACAAUAAGGCAUCAAACACAGUCCACGAUAGCCAAACAAAAGACUUCAAAGCAAACGUUUUUAAUGUUAAUUUAGAUCUAAUCCAGCAAACUGAUAAAAGAUUUAAUGCGAGCAGAAAGAUUGCCAAAAUGUUCUCAAUCGUCUGGUUCAAUAAUGAUGAUCUUCCCGUUUAAAAGCUUGAAAACUUGCACGGCUUUAUACGAGUGAUGUGAACAAAGACAAUCUCCAAUCUCAUUGAAGAAGUUUGUCAUUUUAAAAAUGACCGCAAAAACAAUUUUCAAGUAAGGAAAUCCAAUGCACUCAAUCAAAAUUUUGAGAAGAAGCUUGAACGCUGUUUUCCAUGCAUCAUGCUCCGGAUUUUUAACACUAUUCGUGAAUCAGUUGCUGAGUGUGAAAAAUCAUUUUCUCCGUUCGACCAUGGGCCAGGAUGGCGCUAAUGAUACUUGAUUAUUUCGAUUGAAGAAGAUUUGGCUAAAAAGGUGAACUACAAUGAUGUCAUCAAUAUUUGGGCGGCCAGAAAAGCUAAAAAAGUUCAUUUUUAAGCGCCUUAUUAAACUUUCUAAAAGGUUUUGUUGAUUUUUUUGUUCUAUUAGUUUUAAAACUAACGUUUUGAUU